AUUUUAUGGCCACAAAAAAAAAAACACGAAGUUCUCGGGCCAAGGAAUGAAUCCUAUGCCACAGCUGUAGCAACGCUGGACCCUUUAACCCACUGCCCUGGGCUGCGGAUUGAACCUGAACCUCUGUAGUGACCUGAACCGCAUCAGAUUCUUUUUUUCUUUUUUAUGGCCACAGCUGCGGCAUAUGAAGUUCCUGGGGUAGGGGUCAAAAUGGAGCUGCAGCUGCAGGCCUACACCAUAGCCACAGCAACACCAGAUCUGAGCUGCACCUGCGACUUUAUACCACAGAUCAUAGCAAUGCAGGAUCCUUAACCCCCUGAGCAAGGCAGGGAUCAAACCCACUGGUUCUUAGCCCACUGAGCCACAGGGGAAAUCCUGCAAUCAGAUUCUUAACCCACUGCACCAAAGAGGGAACUCCAGAAGUGGCUUAUUUUAAGCUGAGUUCAAGAAAUAUACAAUGAUAGGGAGUUCCCAUCAUGGUUCAGUGGCAACAAACCCAACUAGGCUCCAUGAGGAGGUGGGUUUGAUUCCAGACCUCACUCAGUGGGUUAAGGAUCCAGUGUUGCUGUGGUGUAGGUUGCAGAAAGGACUCAGACCCUGUGCUGUUGUGGCUGCAGCAUAGGAUGUCAGCUAUAGCUCUAAUAUGACCCCUAGCCUGGGAACUUCCACAUGCCACGAGUGCAGCCCUAAAAAAGCAAGAAAAUAAAAGUAUAUAAUCCUAAAAUAUGUAAAACUGAAGUUAUACCCAUAUAUACUAUAAUAAAAAAAUUCAUGCUACUCCUAAGGACAAUAUUAUUUUAUGAAGGUGUUUUCGCUACUAUAUAAAUCUUAAUUUUUUUCUUAAUGAUAAAGGUUCAUAUUUUCAAUGUAACUUGAUACUAGGUAUGGGUUAAUAUUUUGUUUUUUAUUUUAUUUUUUGCUUUUUAGGGCCGCAGGUGCAGCAUAUGCAAGUUCCCAGGCUAGAAGUCUAUUUGGAGCUACAGCUGCCAACCUCCACCACAGCCACAGCAACUUGGGAUCCAAGCCAUGUCUGUGACCUACACUACAGCUUUUGGCAAUGCCAAAUCCAUAACCCACUGAGUGAGGCCAGGGAUCAAACCCACAUCCUCAUGGAUACUAGUCAGAUUCGUUUCCACUG
rnacentral:lncRNA from 1 species